UGGUGGGGUAGGCCGAGGCGGGGCGGAGACGGCCGAGGGAAGGCGGGGGUGUCCUCGCCGGCGUUUAGCAACGGAGAUGGCGCGCGGCGAGUCCUCCGCGUGGAGAGCUUGUAAGCGAGAAGCGUGCUCCAUAGAGCCGGCGGCAGGCACGUCAGGUGUUGGUUUGGAGAGGGUCUCGGCGGAGCUGCCCCCCGUGUUCGCCACCGGCAAGCUCUAGUCGGUGGGGGCGACAGCAGUCGCCGGCGCCGUCGGGGUGCAAGACAUUAUUUCAUCAAUUUUUGGAGUCAUUUAGAGCUUCAGCAGUAGGAUUUGCCUGGCGAAGUGAAGCACGAAGUUGAAGAUCAAGAUAAAAUAAUUCAUCUUAGUAGCAAACAAGGAGGAGAUGACGUGAUUGAAGAAAUUGUGUUUCCAUCUUCGCUGUCCCUUUUGAGGUUGACUCCGUUCAUAUAGUACUGGCGACGAAAAUUUAUUCGAACUAUUUGGACUCUUAAUUUCAUUCGCAAGCACAUCCAUAUUGGAGCUAAGGUAUAAAAUGACACCGUAAUUUUGUUAAUAUUUUUUAUAUUUGAUGUACUAUUGUGAAUAAUGUGCAUGCCGCUGUAAAUAUUAUUAUUUGUAAAUAAAUGAUUGCUAUAGUAUGAUAUGAAAAAAUUAUAUAAAGCCGGAAGAAAUUAAAUGUUUUACUCAUAUGACAUUAAAAUGUUAUUAUCGUACUAUUAUGUUUAGUGGUUGUUU